GACGAACGCUGGCGGCGUGCUUAACACAUGCAAGUCGAACGGAAAGGCCCUGCUUUUGUGGGGUGCUCGAGUGGCGAACGGGUGAGUAACACGUGAGUAACCUGCCCUUGACUUUGGGAUAACUUCAGGAAACUGGGGCUAAUACCGGAUAGGAGCUCCUGCUGCAUGGUGGGGGUUGGAAAGUUUCGGCGGUUGGGGAUGGACUGGCGGGUUAUCAGCUUGUUGGUGGGGUAGUGGCUUACCAAGGCUUUGACGGGUAGCCGGCCUGAGAGGGUGACCGGCCACAUUGGGACUAAGGUACGGCCCAGACUGCUACGGGGGGCAGCAGGGGGGAAUAUUGCACAAUGGGCGGAAGCCUGAUGCAGAGACGCCGCGUGCGGGAUGACGGCCUUCGGGUUGUAAACCGCUUUCGCCUGUGACGAAGCGUGAGUGACGGUAAUGGGUAAAGAAGCACCGGCUAACUACGUG
rnacentral:rRNA from 1 species